rnacentral:rRNA from 1 species
GAUAAACGCUGGCGGCGUGCUUAACACAUGCAAGUCGAACGGAGUAUUUCUCCCGAGACCGAGGAAGCUUGCUUCCAAAGAAUCAUUUGAAAUACUUAGUGGCGGACGGGUGAGUAACGCGUGGGUAACCUGCCCUUAAGAGGAGGAUAACAGUGAGAAAUCAUUGCUAAUACACCAUAUGCUUACGGAGUCGCAUGACUCAGUGAGGAAAGGAAUUUCGCUUAAGGAUGGAUCCGCGUUUGAUUAGCCAGUUGGCAGGGUAACGGCCUACCAAAGCGACGAUCAAUAGCCGGCCUGAGAGGGUGAACGGCCACAUUGGAACUGAGACACGGUCCAAACUCC